CAAUCAUUUCCCUGUGGAUAUGCCCUUUGCAUCUAAGUUAAUUGCAACAUCUCUUCUCUGCCUAUGCACGUGUGAUACUUUGACUCUCUUUGAAUCAGUUGAAAGAAACAGCUUACUCAUUAUUAAUAAGGCAUCAUGGAGUGCAGUGCCCAGUGGACUCAUCAGACAAAGAAGGGUAAAGUCUGUUACCAGAAAAGUAAGUGCACCUCGCAGGUGGCUUCAGCCCACGGAUCUCUUAUCUGGCUCACAAACGUCAAUCCCAAAUGAUGAUAGAACUGAACUCACUCCCACACUGAGAGCAUUGAUCCAUAAAGGAGGGCAGAGCCAUCAUGACCCCAUCACCUCUUACAGGUGCGAUCUCUUACCACUGUUGCACUGGGGAUUAGGUUUCCAAAACAUGAACAUUGGCAGCCACAUUGAAACCAUAGCAGGCUCCAAAGCCAGAGCCCCCUUCCCUACUGAUUCUAGUACAGUUCUUGCUAUUAAAAUCCUUCCUGGGGUAUACUCCUAUGAGCAAGAGCCUGUGACAUGGAACCUGGAUACACAGAGAAAUGUGUGGUCCCAGCA
rnacentral:lncRNA from 1 species